rnacentral:rRNA from 1 species
CCGCCGGCGACCGGCGCACGGGUGAGUAACACGUAUGCAACCUGGCCGUGACAGAUGGAUAACCGGGAGAAAUCCCGCCUAAUACAACAUAAUGCCGGGAGGGGACAUCCCCUGCCGGUCAAAGGGGGCGACCCCGGUCACGGAUGGGCAUGCGGCGCAUUAGGUAGUUAGUGGGGCAACGGCCCACCAAGCCGACGAUGCGUAGGGGUUCUGAGAGGAAGGUCCCCCACAUUGGAACUGAGACACGGUCCAAACUCCUACGGAAGGCAGCAG